rnacentral:lncRNA from 1 species
CCUGCUGUGCCAGGCUGGUUGAUGAAGGAGGAAGGAUGCAGAUUUAUUACUUACUUGCACACAUACGCCAUUAUGAUCCCGUGAAUGUCUUUGACUUGUGUGCUUACAAGAGGAGCAGCAGCGUAGGCUAUUUGCUAUACAGUCAAGGAUGUCAUAUGUUAGUUCCUGAUGCACAGCACUGAGCAGGACAGAGACCUUGGUGGUACAGAGGACACAAGAAUGGCAGCACCCAGUGGCUGGAACUGUGUGGCCUUAGCAGCCAGGCCUGCUGUGAGCAGGCUUCAAGAAACAAAUACAGCAGAAAAGAUGUACUCCAGUACUGCUUGAAAAUAUGUGAGAGGAUGCUUCAAGGCCCAUACUGUUACUAAAAACAAAUAAUGUCUCAUCAGCAAGAAGAGAUGUCUUGGAGAAUAUUCUAAACUAGAAACUGACUUUCUAAACACAUUUUCCUUGUUUUACUUAUUGUCAGUUUUUUUCCAAACAAUGUGUACGUUGCUGAGAGAAUUUCUUCCCUUACGGAAACUAUUUUAUUUCUUUGGAGGUGUGAUUAGGUCAUUAGACUUCAUCAC